rnacentral:rRNA from 1 species
GCGAACGGGAUUAGAUACCCUGGUAGUCCACGCUGUAAACGAUGUCGAUUUGGAGGUUGUGCCCUUGAGGCGUGGCUUCCGGAGCUAACGCGUUAAAUCGACCGCCUGGGGAGUACGGCCGCAAGGUUAAAACUCAAAUGAAUUGACGGGGGCCCGCACAAGCGGUGGAGCAUGUGGUUUAAUUCGAUGCAACGCGAAGAACCUUACCUACUCUUGACAUCCAGAGAACUUUCCAGAGAUGGAUUGGUGCCUUCGGGAACUCUGAGACAGGUGCUGCAUGGCUGUCGUCAGCUCGUGUUGUGAAAUGUUGGGUUAAGUCCCGCAACGAGCGCAACCCUUAUCCUUUGUUGCCAGCGGUUCGGCCGGGAACUCAAAGGAGACUGCCAGUGAUAAACUGGAGGAAGGUGGGGAUGACGUCAAGUCAUCAUGGCCCUUACGAGUAGGGCUACACACGUGCUACAAUGGCAUAUACAAAGAGAAGCGACCUCGCGAGAGCAAGCGGACCUCAUAAAGUAUGUCGUAGUCCGGAUUGGAGUCUGCAACUCGACUCCAUGAAGUCGGAAUCGCUAGUAAUCGUAGAUCAGAAUGCUACGGUGAAUACGUUCCCGGGCCUUGUACACACCGCCCGUCACACCAUGGGAGUGGGUUGCAAAAGAAGUAGGUAGCUUAACCUUCGGGAGGGCGCUUACCACUUUGUGAUUCAUGACUGGG